rnacentral:rRNA from 1 species
GACGAACGCUGGCGGCGUGCUUAACACAUGCAAGUCGAACGAAAAGAGGGAAAGAGCUUGCUCUUUCCGGAAUUGAGUGGCAAACGGGUGAGUAACACGUAAACAACCUGCCUUCAGGAUGGGGACAACAGACGGAAACGACUGCUAAUACCGAAUAAGUUCCAAGGGCCGCAUGGCCCAUGGAAGAAAAGGUGGCCUCUACCUGUAAGCUAUCGCCUGAAGAGGGGUUUGCGUCUGAUUAGCUGGUGGGAGGGGUAACGGCCCACCAAGGCGACGAUCAGUAGCCGGUCCGAGAGGAUGAACGGCCAAACUGGAACUGAGACACGGUCCAGAAUCCUACGGGAGGCAGCAGUGGGGAAUCUUCCGCAAUGGGCGAAAGCCUGACGGAGCAACGCCGCGUGAGUGAUGACGGCCUUCGGGUUGUAAAACUCUGUGAUCCGGGACGAAAAGGCAGAGUGCGAAGAACAAACUGCAUUGACGGUACCGGAAAAGCAAGCCACGGCUAACUACGUG